UACAGAGGGUGCAAGCGUUAAUCGGAAUUACUGGGCGUAAAGCGCGUGUAGGCUGCCCUGCAAGUCGGAUGUGAAAGCCCUGGGCUCAACCUAGGAAGUGCACUCGAAACUGCAGGGCUGGAGUCCUGGAGAGGAAGGCGGAAUUCUCGGUGUAGAGGUGAAAUUCGUAGAUAUCGAGAGGAGCACCGGUGGCGAAGGCGGCCUUCUGGACAGUGACUGACGCUGAGACGCGAAAGCUUGGGGAGCAAACAGG
rnacentral:rRNA from 1 species